rnacentral:lncRNA from 1 species
GACCGAUUAUGAUCAAAUCUGACAAUCGAUAUAUUUUCAUGACAGUCAAUGCAUAUUCCUCAGUAAAUCAUACUUACUCACGGAAAGGUUGCAGCCUUUAAUAGUUAUAGUUAUCUGCAACGUUUCUGUGAGUAGAUGUAGGUACAAGGCAAAAUUCUGUCAUACCAAGUUCAAUAACUGAAGAUCAAUCAUUAGAAUAACGCCCUAUUUAUUAUGCCAAGAGAUUAACAGAAACUCCACAAAUUUAAUAUCAACCAUUUCAUUUCACAAAAAAAAAAAAAAAAAAAAAAAAAAAGAAAAUCGAGUUGAGUUGAUCACAUUCGGUUAAAUAUAAAUGUAAUGCCAUCAUAUAAAGGCAACUAUAUUAUACUGCUGUUCAAAGGCGAUAUUUCGAUUGCAGGAAAACUAAUCAUAGUUACAAACUAAAACCGAGGGAAACACAUCAACUUUAAAAGGGAAACAACGGAACAACAGAAACACUUAAGUGCAACAAAAGCAAACGCUAACAUACAUAUUUAAGAACAACUGCCUUAUGAUCCCUGACUUUGAAACAUAUCUCUAAAAUGACAACACAAGAAUACUGUACAAGCAAACGCAAGAGCACUCAAUCGAGAGAAACGCAUAAAUAAUUAAUACAAUAGUAAAUUACAAUAUAUAAACCGCAGAAUACAACGAACAUCUUCCAUUCAAGACAGUACAAGACACCACCAA